AGAGAAAGAUGGAGGGAAAAUUUUACAACAAAAUUUACAACAAAAAUCCUACAACAAAAUUCAGCUGAAGACACUGAGGCUUGGAAAGGUGAAGCAACUUUCUUGAGGUCACACAGCAAGGACCCUGAGAUCCAAGAUUCAGACCUAGUCCAAGAGUUUAUGAAUCUUUCAGUUUGUUUUUCUGGAGUUUGAAGCCUACAAGCCAGAGAAGCAGGGCUCAGCCACCCUCCGCCUCCUCCCAGCUUCUCGGCAGGGCCAGUCGAGAUAUCUGCCUUCUACAGCUGCCUUCUGGUGACCACCUCCCUAUGGGGCACCAAGAUACAAUUUGCGGGACUUGCUCCACAGAACCCCACGCCCUGCGUGGACUGCACAGAUAUGCCAAGGAGACUAUUUCCCAGGCUUCUCUCGAACUCCCUGAACUCAGGCGGACUUGCUUUCAAUCCACCAAUCAGAACGCCCCUCCAUCAACCCACGUGCGCACCUGCCUUUGCUAUGUUUAUUAAUUUCACAGAAGAACAGCUUUAUCUCGGAGAAGCCAGGGUGAUCACAUUAUUCAAGUGAGCAAAGCUUGGCACCUGGUACCUACUCAUGCCUGUCAUAGCCAUGGGUAGAUGAGAAUCCACUCCAGAGCAGGCACUUCAAACAGGGCUGAGUGGAUGAACUUUCAAAACACACCACCAACCCGGAGUAAGGACCUAUCUCAGCACAUCAAGCCCAUGUUUUGGGCCAAGAUUCUUCUUGUAUCAGCCGUGGUUUCUGAAUGGCCUGCCUUGAUGGAACAAGUUGAGAAUCGGAUGUCACCCGCUGCCAGAGGUUCCCGGUAUGAGCUGUGAUCUCUCUGCAGAGUUGAUGGAGGCCUCUGAAAGGCCCUGUCAUUUCCUGAUUCUAUCUGGUUUAUGCCCUUGGUUUGAAGCAAGCUCUUCUCUCAUCUGUCCCCUGAA